rnacentral:tRNA from 1 species
GCCUGGCUGGCUCAGUCGGAGAGCACGCGACUCUUGAUCUCAGGGUUGUGAGUUCGAGCCCCACACUGGGUG